UUACUCUGACUCUCUUAGAUGUCUAAAAUCUUUCGCCUUUUACUAAAGAUUCCGUGGAGAGGUAUCAAAAGAGUUAUUACUCAAUUUUUUGAUGCCCUGCUCAGUGGGGCU